rnacentral:piRNA from 1 species
UCCUGUAAGAAGAAUGAAGGUGUGCU